rnacentral:lncRNA from 1 species
AGGAGGACGCCAGGACUGCGUCCCGGAGCCAAGUGCGGGAGGCGCGCAGGGCCGGCGGCGCGCGGAGAAAUGAGCAGAUUUGCAGAAAAACUGGUGUCCUGAAAUUUAAAACUAAGGCAUCGGUGCUACAGAGCUGCUCUAAGCUGUGGGCCAACAGGAGGCUGGGAGCUCUCCUCUAAAUUGCUUUGUGACCUUGGACAAGAACCCUCCCCUUCCUGGACUGCAAAUUUCCUCCUCUGUAAAAUGAAGGGUUAUGCAACAACUGAGGCAUAGAGAAGUCACUUGCCCAAGGUCACCCAGCAGGCUCUGGCUGAGAACAUGGCCAAUGACAUUGAUGAGCUCAUUGGCAUUCCCUUCCCCAACCACAGCAGUGAGGUCCUGUGCAGCCUCAA